rnacentral:lncRNA from 1 species
CUCCUUUCUUGCAAUGGUGACCUCCUUAAGCACUCUCCCUCAUCCCUACUUCCCAAGUGCUUCCUCAUUCUCCUUGGCCUCCACUAGGGACCAAGGUCCCAUCAGGCUGUGCCCAGACAUCAGGGGCACCUGGUAUGGGGUGCUUAUAAGGUGCUUUAGGAGCCCAUGUACCAAACAAUAGGGUGAGGCAUGUCUCUGUGCCUCAGCGGUGAUACAGAAAGGUCUUUCAGAUCCCUGGAACAGGUCAGUGGCCACAAAACCAGCUGUCACCCUAGGAGAGGAUACAGUCAUCUGAUACCAAUGAAGACUAAGAAAGUAUUUGUCUCUAAACCAAUUAUUUUUUUAAAUGGAGUCUUGCUUUGUCACCUAGGCUGGAGUGCAGUGGUACAAUCUCAGCUCACUGCAACCUCUGCCUCCUGGGUUCAAGCAAUUCUCCUAUCUCAGCCUCCUGAGUAGCUGGGACUACAGGUGCCCACCACCAUGCCUGGCUAACUUUUGUAUUUUUAGUAGAAACAGGGUUUCGCCAUGUUGACCAGGCUGUUCUCGAACUUCUGACCUCAAGUGAUCUGCCCACCUUGGCCUUCUAAAG